GGCCACCUACAUCUUUUGGCUCCUAGC
rnacentral:piRNA from 1 species